rnacentral:lncRNA from 1 species
UUCAUCUUUCCCAAAUGUAAUAGACAAUCUCAGCUCUCCUUGCAGUUAGUUAGGGUCAUGUGAUUAAAUCUAGCCAAUGAGUUGUGAACUUCUUGAUGGGCAUUUAAUGCCAGUGAGAGAUCCACCAGAGAUCUUUUUUCCUCUGCUCUUGAGAAUGGCAGUAUUCCAAAUGAUAGUUCCUCCAUUAUCCUUAUUCUUAAAGGGAGGAUGGCAUGGAGCAGAGCCCUCAGCCAGCCUGUGAUGAACAUGCAGCAUGCACAAGAAAUGAGCCCUUGUUAUUUCAAUCCAUCAAGAUUUGGGGGAUGUUUGUUACUGCCACAAAUCCUAGCCCCUUGACACUCAAAGAGUGACCUGCAGACUGGCUGCAUCAGCCUCAUCUGGGGGUUUGUUAGAAAUUCAGAAUCUUGGACCCUUCUUUCAGACCUGCUGAAUCAGGGACUGCAUUUUUUUUGUUUUUUUGUUUUUUUGUUUUUGUUUUUGUUUUUUUGAGACAGAGUCUCACUCUGUCACCCAGGCUGGAGUGCAGUGGUGAGAUCUCAGAUCACUGCAGCCUCCGCCUCUUGGGUUCAAGCGAUUCUCAUGCCUCAGCCUCCUGAGUAGCUGGGACUACAGGGAUGCACCACCAUGCCCAGCCAAUUUUUGUAUUUUUUGGUAGAGACAGGAUUUCACCAUAUUGGCCUGUCUGAUCUUGAACUCCUGACCUCAAACGAUCCACCCACCUCAGCCUCCCAAAGUGCUGGGAUUACAGGCAUGGGCCACUGCACCCAGAUCUAGGAGCUGCAUUUUAAUAAGGGGCCUCGGGUGAUCUGUGCACAUAAUAAGAAUCCCAGAGUUCUGCUCUAGCCUAUCUGGAAUGAUACUCAGGCGAAGGGAGGCAGAAUCCGUGGAAGUUGAGAAGUGUACGCAGAAGCCUGCAUUCCAGCAGCAAGAACGACAUCUUCUAAAGACUCAAGAUGGCCUCUAAUCUUCAUGGCCUAAUUCCCUGAUCCUCCAACCAGGAGGCCUCCCCAGGCCUGAAAGAAGUGUUUGUAAAGGUCAACUCCCUUAGAUCUUUUAAAUUCCAAGAACAAAAGAUAAAAGAAGCUCUACCAAAAUACAAACAACAAGCAACAACAACAACAAUCUUCCUACCUUGAUGUGUACGUCUGUAAUUGUGGUGUUAAAGUUGUGUAGGGAAAAAGGGAGAAAGCUUCAUUUGUCUUCCUCCAGCUUGAGUUGAUAGUUGGUGAUUGGACUAAUGGUCCCAUGUACUGUUGUAACUUCAGGAACCGCCGUGAAGCAAGGAUUCAUCAAAGAGGGGAAGCGAGAGGAUUUUGUUUGCUUAUUUAAUAAAAAAAAUUAAAAAAAUAGAGAUUUCCUUUAGCUUGGAGGUAUGGUUUAAUUAGAAUGGUUUUCUCCUGGGUUUUUGUGCCCUCAUUCUCCACCUCUCCUCCAUAAAGCCUGCCUGAGAAAUGCCUUCUUAAAUAUGAACAAAAUCAUCCUAAUUAUUUAAUCUACUCUUAUGGAACACAGCACGUGGAAGAAUGCGCCCUCAGUUUGACCUUCUGUGGUAGAGGAAAAGAGAGAAAGUCUA